CUUUUAAUCAUGCUUGAUUUUGAUUUAUUUUGUUUCAUUCAAUAAAUGGCGGUUAUAGCGGUUUGUUCAAUCAGUUUAAAUUUAAAAUUCAAGCUAAAGCAUUAAAACUGAGGAUGAAACUAUAUCUGGUUUUGGUAUUAUUGUUGGCUCUGUUCUUUAGCUCAAGCAAAGCUAAACAAUAUCUUGUGGAAACUGAAGAUGAAAACCCAGUCAAAGAUGUAAAACAACCUAAGACGCAAGUUCCGUCAGGAACUGCUAAGUCUGGUGACGACUAUAUAAAUUGGUGAUUCACAUGGUUUCUGGAAAGUAAUUUUGUAAAAUAAAUUAUAUUAAAAAAGUUCAAAAUUAUUCAAUAAAUUUAGUUGUUUUCUUUCAAAA